rnacentral:lncRNA from 1 species
CCGACUUGCUCUGAUACCAAAUCAAGUUGAGAUCUUCUUAUCUUGACUUCUCUGAUGCCCAAUUCAAAUCAGGAUCACCUUACCCUGACUUAGUCGCUGACUGAUUCAGAAAGUAGUUCAGCAACACAAGAACAAGAGAUUAAAGAACAACCUUUCUUUAUUGAUUUAGAAACUUCACAAAACUAAAUCUCUCUUAGGUCUUUUGGAACAACUCUCCAAAGCCUUAUCUCUUGGGUCUUAUGGAACAACUCUCCAUAAGCCUCUUCUUCUCUCUUUAGGUCUUAUGGAACAACUCUCCAUAAACCUCUUCUUCUCUCUUUAGGUCUUAUGGAACAACUCUCCAUAAACCUCAUCUUCUCUCUUUAGGUCUUAUGGAACAACUCUCCAUAGACUCUUCUUCCAAAAUAGAACUUAGCUACCCCUAAGUCUAUAUGAGUCUCUUCCUCUAGACUCUCAUGAGAUCUGUCUCAACACCUCCACGUGUCUCGACUCUCUUCUUGAGCUCUCUCCUUUGAGCUACACGAGCUCCCCGCUGAGCUUCACGAGCUCCCUGCUUGAGCUGCUCUCACGAGCUCUCCUCUGAGCUACCCUCUGAGCUACUCUUUGAGCUACUUCGGCUAUACAAGCUACUCGAGCUCCUUGAGCUCCUCUGAGCUGUUCGAGCUCCCCUGAGCUUUUCUUCUUCUUCUUCAUAAGGCUAGUAUUUAUACUAGAACCAAGCUUCUCCUUUGCCUAUUGUGAAUAGGAAGACUUACAAAUCUUGUCCAACUUGACAUUAUUUGUAUUUCCUUUUCUCUUGAUUUCCUUUCUUGGAUUUCCUUUCUUGGAUCUCUUCUAGCAUCUUCUAGAAGGAGAUAACUUGCUCCUCAAGUUAGUUGGAAUUAUCCAACAUUCUCCCCCUUAACUCCAACUUGAAUUCCGGGAAGCUUGAUUCUCGCCAAUGCCUUAGUAAGUGUGUCCGCCUUCUGCUCCACACCUUGAACAUUCUCAACUUCAACCUUUGUUGAGAUACGAUCUCUUGCUCCUCCUCAGCUUUUGAGAACUUCAAAUUUGACAUCUUCAAAUUUGACUGCAUCUUAGUAUCCACAAGCAUUCCUUGAGCAUCUCCCUCUUGUUCUGCUCCUUGAAUUACUUCUUGUACUAGUGCUUGUACUACUUCAACGAUUCCUUGAACACAACCGUCUUGUUUUGCUCCUUGAAUCACGUCUUGUACUACUUCAUGUACUACUUCAGCGAGAAGUAUUCCUUGAGCACAAACCUCUUGUUCAACUCCUUGAAUAACUUCCUGUAGUACUCUCUCUACUACUUCAAAGACUAGUACAGAAUACCCAAAUAUCAUAACCCAACUUGGUUUGAUAUUCUCUAGACCCCGACUUGGUUCUAGCAUCUCUAGAAUCUGACUUGAUUCUAGCAUCAUUAGAACCUGGCUUGGUUCCAAUAUUGACCAACCAUCUACCUUCUUGAGAUGCGGCCUCGUGGUUGUCUUGAGUGAUAUCCUCCAUGACAUCAUCUUCUUCAUGUCCUUCUCCAGCAUCUUCUCCGUGAAUCAAUUCCAAAACUUAUAUGACCUAACCGAGCAUGCCAUGUCCUUGUAGAUUCAUUAGCAAUUCAUUCAGUCAGUCCUUCAGUGAGUCCUUCAACGAGUCCUUCAGCAAGUCCUUCAGCACGUCCCUCAGCAAGUCCUUCAGCUUGCAGACAUGUUGCCUUGCUUAUCUCCAAACAACUUGAUGUUGACCAGCCUUGUCACAUCACUUUGGAUAAAUCCUUCUUCUGCUUUUGGUUGUGAUCACCGGUUUCUCCUCCUUGAGAUUGCAAGGUGGACCUUCCACGCCCCAUGCCUCUACCGGAACUGUCACCUCCAAAGCUUCCUCUACCAUAACCACCGUAGUUAUAGCGUCCUCUGUUAUAACGUCUUCUUGUUAUAACCGCCUCUGUUUCCUUCUUGAAACUUCCCGUAGCCUCCACGCUUAGGGUUUGAGGUCCUUGAUCUUCACUUUGGGUUUCUUCCCCAACACGUUCUUCAUACUCUAGUAACCUCCCAACAAUAUCUUCAAACCCUAUCUGCUUUAGGUCAAGAACUUGCUCCAGGGAUGCUACAAUAUGAAUGAACUUGGUUCGUGGUUGUGGAUUCUCGCCUGCCAUACUUGCUUACGAGUCACGUACCACUGGUCUUGUCUAGAGUCUUCAAACUAAGCUCUGACACACCACAAAUCUUGUCCAGAGUCUUCAAACUAAGUUCUGAACUUGUACAGAGUCUUCAAACUAAGCUCUGCCAUACCACAGGUCUCGUCCAGAGUCUUCAAACCAGAAGCUCUGAUACCAAAUAAAGUUCAGAGCCGACUUGCUCUGAUACCAAAUAAAGUUCAGUGCCGACUUGCUCUGAUACCAAAUCAAGUUGAGAUCUUCUUAUCUUGACUUCUCUGAUGCCCAAUUCAAAUCAGGAUCACCUUACCCUGACUUAGUCGCUGACUGAUUCAGAAAGUAGUUCAGCAACACAAGAACAAGAGAUUAAAGAACAACCUUUCUUUAUUGAUUUAGAAACUUCACAAAACUAAAUCUCUCUUAGGUCUUUUGGAACAACUCUCCAAAGCCUUAUCUCUUGGGUCUUAUGGAACAACUCUCCAUAAGCCUCUUCUUCUCUCUUUAGGUCUUAUGGAACAACUCUCCAUAAACCUCUUCUUCUCUCUUUAGGUCUUAUGGAACAACUCUCCAUAAACCUCAUCUUCUCUCUUUAGGUCUUAUGGAACAACUCUCCAUAGACUUUUCUUCCUAUAUAGAACUUAGCUACCCCUAAGUCUAUAUGAGUCUCUUCCUCUAGACUCUCAUGAGAUCUGUCUCAACACCUCCACGUGUCUCGACUCUCUUCUUGAGCUCUCUCCUUUGAGCUACACGAGCUCCCCGCUGAGCUUCACGAGCUCCCUGCUUGAGCUGCUCUCACGAGCUCUCCUCUGAGCUACCCUCUGAGCUACUCUCUGAGCUACUUCGGCUAUACAAGCUACUCGAGCUCCUUGAGCUCCUCUGAGCUGUUCGAGCUCCCCUGAGCUUUUCUUCUUCUUCUUCAUAAGGCUAGUAUUUAUACUAGAACCAAGCUUCUCCUUUGCCUAUUGUGAAUAGGAAGACUUACAAAUCUUGUCCAACUUGACAUUAUUUGUAUUUCCUUUUCUCUUGAUUUCCUUUCUUGGAUUUCCUUUCUUGGAUCUCUUCUAGCAUCUUCUAGAAGGAGAUAACUUGCUCCUCAAGUUAGUUGGAAUUAUCCAACA